rnacentral:misc_RNA from 1 species
GAUGAAGAACGUAGCGAAAUGCGAUAAGUAAUGUGAAUUGCAGAAUUCAGUGAAUCAUCGAAUCUUUGAACGCACAUUGCGCCCCUUGGUAUUCCGAGGGGCAUGCCUGUUCGAGCGUCAUUAUAACCCCUCAAGCUCAGCUUGGUGUUGGGGCCUGCUGCACUGGCAGCCCUUAAAAUCAGUGGCGGCGCCGUCUGGCUCUAAGCGUAGUAAUUCUUCUCGCUAUGGAGUCCUGGUGGAUGCUUGCCAUCAACCCCCAAUUUUUCUAUGGUUGACCUCGGAUCAGGUAGGGAUACCCGCUGAACUUAAGCAUAUCAAUAAGCGGGGA